GGCACCAAAGAGGCAUUAAACAAAUGUCGCCUUGUUUUUGCCCGGGUGAGUGUUAACUACCUAUACCUUCUUACCUCUAAGUAGCAUUAUUAGGAGACAUCUAGCUAGCUAACUUUAGCUACAUGGACUCAUGUAAGGCAGUGUUACGGCUGUCGCCUUGCCUUCAGCAUUAACUGGCCUGUGAGUGUGUUGUGUGUGUAUAUAUGUGUAUGUUUGUUAUGUGUUUAGCUUAGGAUAUAUUGUGUUUUGUGUGUAUAGACAGCUCAGAGCCUUUGAACAGCCUGCACGUUGUUUAUAUCACUCUAUGUUGAGGUUAAUAUUAAAAACAACCUCUUUACCAAGACCAUCUGGUUAUGUGUUGCUUGUGAUGUUGUUAAAUGUAUGUUACCAACUCGCAAGUUGUGAACUGGAGCUUCAAUUGUGUAGGUCAACCAUUCCCAGAGGUCUGGAGAAACACCAUUUAAAAACGUGGAUUGUAGCUAAAGAAGAUGGAGAGGUUGUUACAGCACACUGUAACUGUAUGGCUGGUUUGUCAGAAUCCUGCUCACAUGUUGGAGCAGUUAUGUUUGCAAUCGAAGCAGGUGUGAAGAUGAGAGAGACUGCAUCCUGCACCACUGAGAAGUGCAAGUGGCUAAUGCCAUCACAUGUCAAAAAGAUUCCUGCUGCUCCAGUUGCGAUGAUAGACUUUUCAUACGCAAAAUCCAAAAAGCAAAAACUGGAUGAUGCCAUUGCUGGAAGGACAGGUGAGAAGCACACAUUUCAGCGUCCCACAGUCCAGGGUUCAAAAUUGGAGCGAGGAUCAGAGAGGUAUAUGCAGUUUUUCAAGACUUUGAGCAGAAAUUCCCCAAGAAGUGCUGCACUGAUGUCCAGGGAACCAUAUUACAGAGAAUUUGUCCCUAAAUCUGUGAGCAAGCUACCUAAACCACUACCUCAGUGUAGGACACCAGAGAUGCUACAGCUAUCCCCAACAGAGUUGCAGAAUGCAUGCCAGGACUUCAGACAGGAAGAGCUGACACAGCCACAGGUCCAGGCAGUAGAGGAGGAGACCAGAAACCAGAGCUUAUCAGCAAUAUGGUUUAGCCAAAGAGCAGGAAGGAUCACAGCCUCAAGACUGAAGCAGGUUCUACAGACUAGUCUUGCACAGCCAUCAAAGUCCUUGAUCAAGUCCAUAUGCUACCCAGAGGCAUACAAGUUCUCUACAGCUGCAACAAGGCAACUGCCCGAAAGCAGUAUGAAGGAGUACAAAGUCUGCACCACCAGGGUUUCAGCUGUAAAGACAGCGGGCUUUGGCUGAACCCUCAAUGGCCAUACAUGGGAGCGUCGCCAGACGGAUGUGUCACGUGCACCUGCCAUGGAACUGGUAUCUGUGAGAUAAAGUGCCCACACAGCAAACAAGAGGAGGCCAAUCUUCGCCUGUGUGCUGGAGAACAGGGCUUCUGUCUCGUCAACGAUGGGGGCACUGUGAAGCUGGACAGGAGACAUGCCUACUACCAUCAAAUACAGGCUCAGCUCCACCUCGUUGAUGUUGACUACUGCGACUUUGUUGUCUGGACUAAAAAUGACCUCUUUGUAGAGAGAAUUGUGCGUGAUGUGGACCUGUGGGACAACAUCAUUCCCAGAGUUGAGCGUUUCUUCAGACUAUGUGUUCUCCCUGAAGUGUUGGGACAGCAACUUACAAGGGGAAAGUUUCAGUUGCAAGAUGAUCAGGAGGGAGAGAAGGCGUGAUUACCAGCACCUGUGGUCUGUCCUGGUCCCGGAAGUUGUGGUUCUCUCCUUGUUGCAUUAUUAUUACGUGCCGUAGUGGGUGCUGGUGUUUGGGUGUGUGUGGGUGUCUUUUUCUCUCUCCCUCUGAUCUCCCCAGGUGCUCCCAAUCUCCAAUCAGCGCCUCCAUAUAGGACAUGAGGAAGGUUGCAGUCGCUCUCCCCUUAUCUUAAGCUUUGUUUGACAAGUUGGCUGGUGAGCCCUUUUUCGUUGUGUUAAUUAAAAGACCACUUUAUGGCGUCAGAGAUCAGUUUCCUCUCCUUUUUCUCUCGGCCGGUUAUGUUGUGUGUCGCUACUUCCCUUUGUACCCCUAUAUUUACAAGGGAACGUAAUAUUUGCACAGUGGCAGCUCUUUAACCUGCAUUACAGCACCUUCAUAUUCACUGACCACACUCACUAGAGGAAGUAGGGCUGUGUGAUAUAUUGCUAUUGUAAAAAAUAUGUUUACUGAAAAGAUUAAAUGAUA